GAGAGGGGGUGAGUGGCUGCCGGUGGAACUCGCUGAGGAAAGUCCUCCCACCUUCUGGAUGUGUGAGCGAGGAGACUCGUAUGGCGAGAGUCAUGGCUCUGGCACAGAAACGAUACGUCCCUGUAAAUAUGAGAAUGAGGUGAAGAACCGACGACAGCAGGGGUUACGAUGGAACGGCGAAUCCUCACAGGUGCAAGCUAAAAAGGGUGAAUGAACUGUCCAGAUGACACCCAGGUUAAGCGCUUAGAUAAAUGCCACUUGAAACAGAAGGAGGCUUACAACCCCCACUC
rnacentral:RNase_P_RNA from 1 species